AUUGAACGCUGGCGGCACGCCUAACACAUGCAAGUCGAGCGGCAGCGAGACUAGUAGCAAUACUAGUUGUCGGCGAGCGGCGGACGGGUGAGUAACACGUAGGAAUCUGCCCUUAAGCGGGGGAUAACCAAGGGAAACUUUGGCUAAUACCGCAUAAUCUCGAGAGAGCAAAGCUGCCCGCAAGGGUGGCACUUGAGGAGGAGCCUGCGUCCGAUUAGCUAGUUGGUGGGGUAACGGCCUACCAAGGCGAUGAUCGGUAACUGGUCUGAGAGGAAGACCAGGCACACUGGGACUGAGACACGGCCCAGACUCCUACGGGAGGCAGCAGUGGGGAAUAUUGGACAAUGGGGGCAACCCUGAUCCAGCGAUGCCGCGUGAGUGAAGAAGGCCUUCGGGUCGUAAAGCUCUUUAGGUUGGGAAGAAGGGUAUUGGCUGAAUAAUCCAGUACUUUGACGGUACCGACAGAAUAAGCACCGGCAAACUCUGUGCCAGCAGCCGCAGUAACAC
rnacentral:rRNA from 1 species